GAUGAACGCUGGCGGCGUGCCUAAUACAUGCAAGUCGAGCGAACGGACGAGAAGCUUGCUUCUCUGAUGUUAGCGGCGGACGGGUGAGUAACACGUGGAUAACCUACCUAUAAGACUGGUAUAACUUCGGGAAACCGGAGCUAAUACCGGAUAAUAUUUUGAACCGCAUGGUUCAAAAGUAAAAGACGGUCUUGCUGUCACUUAUAGCUGGAUCCGCGCUGCAUUAGCUAGUUGGUAAGGUAACGGCUUACCAAGGCAACGAUGCAUAGCCGACCUGAGAGGGUGAUAGGCCACAUGAGAACUGAGACACGGUCCAGACUCCUAAGGGAGGCAGCAGUAGGGAAUCUUCAGCAAUGGGCGAAAGCCUGACGGAGCAACGCCGCGUGAGUGAUGAAGGUCUUCGGAUCGUAAAACUCUGUUAUUAGGGAAGAACAUAUGUGUAAGGAACUGUGCACAUCUUGACGGUACCUAAUCAGAAAGCCACGGCUAACUACGUG
rnacentral:rRNA from 1 species